rnacentral:rRNA from 1 species
UAGGGAAUCUUCGGCAAUGGGGGGAACCCUGACCGAGCAACGCCGCGUGAGUGAAGAAGGUUUUCGGAUCGUAAAGCUCUGUUGUUAAGGAAGAACGAGUGUGAGAAUGGAAAGUUCAUACUGUGACGGUACUUAACCAGAAAGGGACGGCUAACUACGUGCCAGCAGCCGCGGUAAUACGUAGGUCCCGAGCGUUGUCCGGAUUUAUUGGGCGUAAAGCGAGCGCAGGCGGUUAGAUAAGUCUGAAGUUAAAGGCAGUGGCUCAACCAUUGUAGGCUUUGGAAACUGUUUAACUUGAGUGCAGAAGGGGAGAGUGGAAUUCCAUGUGUAGCGGGGAAAUGCGUAGAUAUAUGGAGGAACACCGGUGGCGAAAGCGGCUCUCUGGUCUGUAACUGACGCUGAGGCUCGAAAGCGUGGGUAGCAAACAGG